GGAACGUCGAACGCAUAUAAACAACGACUUUCGCGAAAAACGAUUAUCGCUCUCGGGACCGCUGCAGAUUUUCGUGUAUUAUUAUUUCAAAAAAAAAAAAAAAACCACGCGGUCGACGAUCGAUAACUGCAUUACAACAACAACAAAAAAAAAAAAAAACCGCUUAUUUACUUCCCGAGAAACAACAACAAAACCGAACGUUAUAGAAAAAAAAAAAGUUAAAAAAAAAAGUGCCGGCGCCGCCUCGGGUUCGUCGCGUGUGCGUCGCGCGGCACAACCUGUUCGCCGGUUAAUUAUUAUAAUACGAUCGGAGGAAAUGUGUUGGAAAAAAAAAAGUAAAAAAAAAAAAAAGACAUCGCGUCGUCGCCGCGCGUACAUACAUAAUAAUAACGAUAAUAAUAAUAUUGUGUGUGUGUGUGUGUGUGUGAGUUGGGUGUAAUGAUAUUAUGUACGAUUGAAAAAAAAAAUGUAAAAAAAAAAACUGAAAAAAGUUAUGAAUGAAGAGCUACGCUCGCGCGUACAUACACACGCGUAUACACACACACACACACACACACACACACAAUAAUAUGUUGGCAAAUAAACGCGUGCGAACGCUGCGCACACACGUACACCCAC